GAAUUGUGAUGUUUGUCGCAUUUCAAUGACGUAAAGGUCGGAUAAAUGUGAUCUGGACGUUCACACUGAAGUCACAUUAAAAAAUAUCAGAUCUGUAUCAGACUUAGGACCACAUAUGAAAGUGGUCUGGGUCAGAUUU